GGGGCUUUAGCUCAGUGGUAGAGCGCUUGCCUAGCAAGCGCAAGGCCCUGGGUUCGGUCCCCAGCUCCA
rnacentral:tRNA from 1 species